AGGUGUUGUACAGCGCCAGAGGCUACGUGUUUUACACUGCCAUCAGGAUACAAUGUAAGGUGGUGCUGUUCCAACACCACUGCCAAGAAAAUUGGGUUCCCUUCGGGGCUUCUUUAGUCUCGUUAAUAAAAGACUUUAAAAACAGAAUCAGAAGGCUGCUCAAGGACCAUUUUAGUAGCAUUUGAAAGAAAAACAGCAGUUUCUGCAGGCUGUAAAUCUUGGUGGGAAGAGAGAGAUGGAAAGGAGAAGGGAAUAGCGUUCCUUUUGAGUUAGGGUUCAAGAAAACCAGGCCAUUCAGCAGUAAAGACCAGCUACAUGAUGGAAGAAGGGCUUCAGAAGACAAGUGUGGAGGUCCAGAGUCUUAGGAAAAGUGUUCGUUCGUGGACAAGCACAGCACACAUUCAGCUACUGAAAAUGAUACAGAAACAGAAGGCAAAUUAUGCUGUUUGAAUUUAGGACUCAAAAGAAUGGAGCUGACUAAGCAGACAGAGAUUCGCCCCUGAAUCAACACGUGGAAAACAUUGACGGGCAGCCUCUUGACUACUGAGUAUAAAGCAAGCUCUCCGGGACUUGUUUCACGUCAUUCUGUCCUGCGUGCUUGUCUCGUCGUUAUUAAUAAAAAGACUAAACGCGAUUACGUGUAGUGGCCGCUUGCCACAUACACUUCAUCUCGUCUGCUCAGGCUUCCCGACAGCCUCUGGAGCAGUUAUUAUCCUUUGUUCUGUGGGUGGCGAGGACUAAGGUCACACACAGCUCUUCCAAGCUUGCUUGCCUCUUUUCUGGAAGAUUCUAAGGAGAAUGUGUGAAGGUUUUGGGACGACGAGACAAGAAAGAAUCUGCAUGCUCUGGCUACUUACCAGGACGCUUGAAGGUGCAGGGUUAGAAAACGGGCAACUUUGGAAACAUCUGCGUUUUCUGUGAGCUAUUUAUUCAUCUGGAGUAAGCUGGUCCACCCCGCUGAUGGGUGACCGAGCCUCCGAGCCUCAGCAGCAGAUAGCAGUGUUUUGUCCCAUCACUUCCGACAGCAGUCAGCCUCCACGACAGUCACCCGGGACUUUUGCUUCCAGAGCAUCCACCUCCUGGCGAGUUCCCCUCCAACACUGCACCGGCUGCUGUGGGUGUGUCCACCAGAAUGACAAUGUCACUCCCGAGCUGACGCCAGAAGGGACAUGGUGGCUCUGGUUAUCCUCGUUGUUCACCUGCUCCACACGGUGGAGUCCACUGUGGAGAGAGAGCUACACAAGGAGGAACCAAAGCAUCCGGCCGGCGAGUGGGCUUCAGGAAAUGAAGCUUCUAGCUUCAGCCACUUGAUCCAAUGACCGAAGGCCCAGUAGCAUCCUGAAUGUCACCUCACAAAAGCUCUGAGCCACAGUCAUUCAACCGAGCUCACCCUCUCGCCCUCAGAAACGUUGGAAGAAAUAAACAUCGUUGUUCUUACCCACUAGGUUUAGAAGAGGGGCUCUUUAUUCCACAGCAAUAGCUGACUAAUAGCGCAAGUGAUUUUUUUAUUUUAAUUUUCUUGAGAUUAUAAUAUAAUUACAUCAUUUCCCCCUUCCAUUUCCUCCCUCCAAGCCUUUCCAUCCUCCUACUCUCAAAUUCAUGGCCUCUUUUUCUUUAAUAAUUGGUGUCUGUGUGUGUGCGUGAGUGUGUGUGUGUGUGUAUGUGUGUGUGUGUGUCAGUCUGUGUUACCCGUCUUCAGGAAUGACCGCACAGCUUUGGAAAACCAGCUGGUGUGCUCAUACACUAUUUCUAUCACUCUCAGCAUUCCUUAGUCGCCUGUGGUUCUUUGUCUAGGGUUGAGGCCUCCAGAGCGUUCCCCCUUCCGUAUUAGCUCGUGGGUUGGUAUUGUCCUUAUUCAUAUCGUGUUUAGGCAGCCGUGCUGCUAAGAUUCUAUGGGUGUAACUUCCAACAUUUCUAAGAGACACAU